rnacentral:rRNA from 1 species
UACGUAGGGCGCAAGCGUUGUUCGGAAUUACUGGGCGUAAAGGGCUCGUAGGCGGCCAACUAAGUCAGACGUGAAAUCCCCAGGCUCAACCUGGGAACUGCGUCUGAUACUGGUUGGCUUGAAUCCGGGAGAGGGAUGCAGAAUUCCAGGUGUAGCGGUGAAAUGCGUAGAUAUCUGGAGGAAUACCGGUGGCGAAGGCGGCAUCCUGGACCGGCAUUGACGCUGAGGAGCGAAAGCCAGGGGAGCAAACGGG